ACUAUUUAGGUAGUGCCUCAAGUAUUACCGUUGGGGGUAGAGCACUGUUUUGGCUAGGGGGUCAUGGCGACUUACCAAACCAAUGCAAACUCCGAAUACCGACGAGUACAGCUUGGGAGACAGAGCACCGGGUGCUAACGUCCGGACUCAAGAGGGAAACAACCCAGACCGCCAGCUAAGGUCCCUAAAACGGGCUAAGUGGGAAACGAAGUGGGAAGGCUAAAACAGUCAGGAUGUUGGCUUAGAAGCAGCCAUCAUUUAAAGAAAGCGUAAUAGCUCACUGAUCGAGUCGUCCUGCGCGGAAGAUGUAACGGGGCUCAAGCCAGUUACCGAAGCUGCGGAUGUGCAAUUUAUUGCACGUGGUAGGAGAGCGUUCUGUAAGCCUGUGAAGGUGCGUUGAGAAGCGUGCUGGAGGUAUCAGAAGUGCGAAUGCUGACAUGAGUAGCGUUAAAGGGGGUGAAAAGCCCCCUCGCCGUAAGCGCAAGGUUUUCUACGCAACGUUCAUCGGCGUAGAGUGAGUCGGCCCCUAAGGCGAGGCAGAGAUGCGUAGUUGAUGGGAAACAGGUCAAUAUUCCUGUACCGAUGUGUAGUGCGAUGUGGGGACGGAGAAGGUUAGCUCAGCCAACUGUUGGAUAUGUUGGUUCAAGCCUGUAGUCGUGCCUGGUAGGUAAAUCCGCCGGGCUUAGAUGAGGGGUGAUAACGAGACAGCUUGCUGUCGAAGUGAGUAAUACCCUGCUUCCAGGAAAAGCCACUAAGCUUCAGCUACACACGACCGUACCGCAAACCGACACUGGUGCGCGAGAUGAGUAUUCUAAGGCGCUUGAGAGAACUCUGGAGAAGGAACUCGGCAAAUUGACACCGUAACUUCGGAAGAAGGUGUGCCUUUAGUAGGUGAAAGGAUUUACUCCUGGAGCCCAAUGAGGUUGCAAAAAAUCGGUGGCUGCGACUGUUUAUUAAAAACACAGCACUCUGCAAACACGAAAGUGGACGUAUAGGGUGUGACGCCUGCCCGGUGCUGGAAGAUUAAAUGAUGGGGUGAGAGCUCUUGAUUGAAGUCCCAGUAAACGGCGGCCGUAACUAUAACGGUCCUAAGGUAGCGAAAUUCCUUGUCGGGUAAGUUCCGACCUGCACGAAUGGCGUAACGAUGGCCACACUGUCUCCUCCAGAGACUCAGCGAAGUUGAAAUGUUUGUGAUGAUGCAAUCUCCCCGCGGAAAGACGGAAAGACCCCAUGAACCUUUACUGUAGCUUUGUAUUGGACUUUGAACAGAUCUGUGUAGGAUAGGUGGGAGGCUUUGAAGUAGGGUCGCUAGAUUCUAUGGAGCCAACGUUGAAAUACCACCCUGGUGUGUUUGAGGUUCUAACCUAGGUCCCUUAUCGGGAUCGGGGACAGUGCAUGGUAGGCAGUUUGACUGGGGCGGUCUCCUCCCAAAGCGUAACGGAGGAGUUCGAAGGUACGCUAGUUACGGUCGGACAUCGUGACGAUAGUGCAAUGGCAUAAGCGUGCUUAACUGCGAGACUGACAAGUCGAGCAGAUGCGAAAGCAGGACAUAGUGAUCCGGUGGUUCUGUAUGGAAGGGCCAUCGCUCAACGGAUAAAAGGUACUCUGGGGAUAACAGGCUGAUACCGCCCAAGAGUUCAUAUCGACGGCGGUGUUUGGCACCUCGAUGUCGGCUCAUCUCAUCCUGGGGCUGUAGCCGGUCCCAAGGGUAUGGCUGUUCGCCAUUUAAAGAGGUACGUGAGCUGGGUUUAAAACGUCGUGAGACAGUUUGGUCCCUAUCUUCCGUGGGCGCUGCAGAUUUGAGGAAGCCUGCUCCUAGUACGAGAGGACCGGAGUGGACACACCUCUGGUGUAUCGGUUGUCACGCCAGUGGCAUUGCCGAGUAGCUACGUGUGGAAGAGAUAACCGCUGAAAGCAUCUAAGCGGGAAACUCGUUUCAAGAUGAGAUCUGCCGGGGCCUUGAGCCCCCUGAAGAGUCGUUCAAGACCAGGACGUUGAUAGGUCGGGUGUGUAAGUGCAGCAAUGCAUUGAGCUAACCGAUACUAAUUGCUCGUGCGGCUUGACCCU
rfam:Rhodoferax antarcticus ANT.BR grfa_new.contig.11_1, whole genome shotgun sequence.